CUAAGACUCUGUGCUUUCAGUGCAGGGGGCCUGGGUUCAAUCCCUGGGUCAGGGGAUUAGUUCCCCAUGCCACAAUGAAAAUAGAAGAUCCCUCAUGCCACAACUAAGGCCUGGGGCAGCCAAAUAAAUAAAUAUAUUUUUUAAAAGUUUCUACACUGACAACACCCUCAUCUCAGUCCCCAGUUCCAGACUCUCCCGUAAGCUCCAAGACUUGGUUGUUCUGAAGCCGCCUGGUCAUCUCCCCUGUAUGUCCCUGGCUCCUACAAUGUCUGAGCACUUCCUCAAGUCUGCCUCUCCUCCCAGGCCUCAUCUCCGGGGCGGCCUCAUCACCCUGGGCCUCACCUGGACACUGCCUUCUCCAGUCCCUAUCCCCACAGGGGACCUCCUGAGCACCCCUCCUCCUGGCUUCCCCCUUCUCCUUUCCCCCAGGCUCCUUCCUCAGCCUUCUCCCUUGGCUUCUAAUCUUAGUCUCCUCUGAUUCACUCUCUACGUAGCAGCCAGGGGCAGCUUCCUAAAACUCAGUGCUGAUGGAGCCCCUCUCUUGAUCAAACCUCAGAUGCCUCCAAAAUCCUAGCCCCUCAGGGACUUCCCUGGUGGUCCUGUGGUUAAGAAUCCACCUUCCAAUGCAGGGGACUUAGGUUUGAUCCCUGGUGGGAAAGCUAGGAUCCCACAUGCCUCGCAGCAGCUAACCUGUGAGCUGCGACUACUGAGCUCACAUGCUCCAGAGCCCACGCACUACAACUAGAGAAUAUGUGCACCACAACCAAAGACCCAACACCACAAACACAAUAAACAUGACACAACGAAGAUCCAACACAGCCAAGAAUAAAUAAAUACUAAAAAAGAGAGAAAGAUCCAGUGGAGGGAGAGAGGGAGCCAUGCAGGAUCUGGGAGAAAAUCAUUCCAGGACAUGCAUGCGUACAUGCUAAGUUGCUCAGUCGUGUCCAACUCUUUGCAACCCCAUGGACUGCACCCCGGUAGACACCUCUGUCCAUGGGAUUCUCCAGGCAAGAAUACUGGAGUGGGUUGCCAUGCCUUCCUCCAAUUCCAGGAUGAGGAAACAGCAAAUACAAAGGCCAGGAGGCAGGACUCUGCUCAUUGUGCUUGAGGCUGCUUGAAAACUCCAAAAUAAAGCCCGCCCUAACAUGAUACUCAGAGAACACAAACGCAGCUGCGGUGCUCCUGCCAACCACGAGGAACCAUCGGCCGACCCAAACCAAGGGAAAUUCUGCAGAAUAACAGAGUUGCUCUUCCAAAAUGUGAAGGUCACGAAAGGCGAGGAAAGACUGGGGGAAUGUCACAGACUGAAGGAGAGUGGGGAGCCAGGACUGCUAAAUGCAAAGCCUGAUUCUGGAUUGGGUCCUAGACCAAGAAAGAGACAUCAGCGGGAAAACUGAGGAAAUUCAAAUAAAUUCUCUAAAUCGGUUAAUAAUGUUAUAUCCAUAUUAGUUUCUGAAUUUGACUGGGGACUGUGGUUAUGUAAGAAAGUGCCCUUGUUCAUAGAAGACGCAUGCCCAAGUAUUUAUAGAUAAACAAGCAUCCUGUUUCCAACUUACUCUCAAAUGAGUCAGUGAUUCAGCCAAAACUUUAAAAAAAACCUAUCAUCUAUCUUGUUGUUCAGUUGCUCAGUCGUGUCCGACUCUUUGCGAUCCCAUGGCCUGCAGCAUGCCAGGCUUCCCUGUCCUUCACCAUCUCCAGGAGCUUGUUCAAACUCAUGUCCAUUGAGUCAGUGAUGCUAUCCAACCAUCUCGUCCUCUGUUGUCCCCUUCUCCUCCUGCCUUCAAUCUAUCCCAGCAUCAAGGUCUUUUCUAAUGAGUUAGUUCUUCGCAUGAGGUGGCUAUCUAUUUAUUAAUAUCUAUGGUUUGGAAAGACCAAAGCAAAAGGAGAAAAGGGCAGCAGAGGAUGAAAUGGUUAGAUAGCAUCACCGACUCAGUGGACAUGAAUUUGAGCAAACUCUGGGAGAUGGUGAAGGACAGGGAAGCCUGUUGUGCUGGAGUCCAUGGGGUUGUGGAGAGUCAGACAUAACUUAGCAACUGAACAGCAAUAACAAAUCUAUCUAUCUAUCUAUCUAU
ensembl:lncRNA